GACCAAAAUUGCCAUCUGAAAUCACUGGGAAGACUGUUGAGGAGAUUAUCAAGGAGUGGAAUGCUGAGUUGCAAGAGCGAACUGGAAAAUUUAGAAAACAAACAAAUGCAAUAGCUGAAUGGGAUCGCAGGAUUUUGAACAAUCGUGAUGUUCUAUUGAGGCUUCAGAUUGAAGUGGCAAAGGUAGUC